UACGAAGGUCCCAAGCGUUAUCCGGAUUUAUUGGGUUUAAAGGGUGCGUAGGCGGGCUAUUAAGUCAGUGGUGAAAGCCCCAAGCUUAACUUGGGAACUGCCAUUGAUACUGAUGGUCUUGAGUACAUUUGAGGUGGGCGGAAUGUGUCAUGUAGCGGUGAAAUGCUUAGAUAUGACACAGAACACCGAUUGCGAAGGCAGCUCACUAAACUGUAACUGACGCUGAGGCGCGAAAGCCAGGGGAGCAAACGGG
rnacentral:rRNA from 1 species